rfam:Ciona savignyi cont_28960, whole genome shotgun sequence.
GUCGUCGUGGCCGAGUGGUUAAGGCGACAGACUAGAAAUCUGUUGGGCUCUGCCCACACAGGUUCGAAUCCUGUCGGCGACG